GUAAGUAUAAGUACUACGAGUGUGAGCAUUAAAGCAAAUGUUUUAAAAUCCUCAGCUAAUCUGCAAAACUACCGCAAGAAGAAUUCAGCACAUCAUUUUGAUCAUAUUUCAUGUUAAAUCAUUUUCUUUGCAUUAUUAUUCAUAGUGGGCCUGGGUCAUCUUAUUUGUGACUUUGAAACUUUAUCUCGGUUUCAGUUUUGCUCCUUUUCACAUGUGGAUAAGGGUUGAUGUGUCC